rnacentral:rRNA from 1 species
AAGGGUUUGAUCCUGGCUCAGAACGUACGCUGGCGGCACGCCUAAUACAUGCAAGUCGAACGAAGUAGCAAUACUUAGUGGCAGACGGGUGAGUAACAUGUGGGUAUCUUCCCUUUGGUGAGGAAUAACACGAGGAAACUUGUGCUAAUACCUCAUAAGUCUUUACGGAGAAAGCUUUAUGCGCCAAUGGAUGAGCCCGCACUUGAUUAGUUUGUUGGUGGGGUAAUGGCCUACCAAGACAAUGAUCAAUAGCUGAUUUGAGAGGAUGAUCAGCCACAUUGGGACUGAGACACGGCCCAAACUCCUACGGGAGGCAGCAGUAGGGAAUCUUGCACAAUGGAGGAAACUCUGAUGCAGCGAUGCCGCGUGAGUGAAGAAGGCCUUUGGGUUGUAAAGCUCUUUCGUCGGGGAAGAAAAUGACUGUACCCGAAUAAGAAGGUCCGGCUAACUUCGUGCCAGCAGCCGCGGUAAUACGAAGGGACCUAGCGUAGUUCGGAAUUACUGGGCUUAAAGAGUUCGUAGGUGGUUAAAAAAGUUGAUGGUGAAAUCCCAGAGCUUAACUCUGGAACUGCCAUCAAAACUUUUUAGCUAGAGUAUGAUAGAGGAAAGCAGAAUUUCUAGUGUAGAGGUGAAAU